CAUGCCGUAAACGAUGAUUGCUAGGUGUGGGUGGUCUGACCCCAUCCGUGCCGGAGUUAACACAAUAAGCAAUCCACCUGGGGAGUACGGCCGCAAGGCUGAAACUCAAAGGAAUUGACGGGGGCCCGCACAAGCAGUGGAGUAUGUGGUUUAAUUCGAAGCAACGCGAAGAACCUUACCAGGUCUUGACAUCCACAGAAUUCUUAAGAGAUUAGGAAGUGCCCUUCGGGGAACUGUGAGACAGGUGG
rnacentral:rRNA from 1 species